CCUACGGGCGGCAGCAGUGGGGAAUAUUGGACAAUGGGGGGAACCCUGAUCCAGCCAUGCCGCGUGUGUGAAGAAGGCCCUCGGGUUGUAAAGCACUUUCAGUGAGGAAGAACGCCUGGUGGUUAAUACCCAUCAGGAAAGACAUCACUCACAGAAGAAGCACCGGCUAACUCCGUGCCAGCAGCCGCGGUAAUACGGAGGGUGCGAGCGUUAAUCGGAAUUACUGGGCGUAAAGCGCGCGUAGGUGGCUUGAUAAGCCGGUUGUGAAAGCCCCGGGCUCAACCUGGGAACGGCAUCCGGAACUGUCAAGCUAGAGUGCAGGAGAGGAAGGUAGAAUUCCCGGUGUAGCGGUGAAAUGCGUAGAGAUCGGGAGGAAUACCAGUGGCGAAGGCGGCCUUCUGAACUGACACUGACACUGAGGUGCGAAAGCGUGGGUAGCAAACAGGAUUAGAUACCCCAGUAGUC
rnacentral:rRNA from 1 species